GAUGAACGCUGGCGGCGUGCCUAAUACAUGCAAGUCGAGCGAACGGACGAGAAGCUUUCUUCUCUGAUGUUAGCGGCGGACGGGUGAGUAACACGUGGAUAACCUACCUAUAAUACUGGGAUAACUUCGGGAAACCGGAUCUAAUACCGGAUAAUAUUUUGAACCGCAUGGUUCAAAAGUGAAAGACGGUCUUGCUGUCACUUAUAGAUGGAUCCGCGCUGCAUUAGCUAGUUGGUAAGGUAACGGCUUACCAAGGCAACGAUGCAUAGCCGACCUGAGAGGGUGAUCGGCCACACUGGAACUGAGACACGGUCCAGACUCCUACGGGAGGCAGCAGUAGGGAAUCUUCCGCAAUGGGCGAAAGCCUGACGGAGCAACGCCGCGUGAGUGAUGAAGGUCUUCGGAUCGUAAAACUCUGUUAUUAGGGAAGAACAUAUGUGUAAGUAACUGUGCACAUCUUGACGGUACCUAAUCAGAAAGCCACGGCUAACUACGUG
rnacentral:rRNA from 1 species